AAGGAAUAUCUAAUAAUAAUACAUUCUCAUAUCAAAGAGUACCUAGAACUGUAGAUAACACAUCUUCACUUGACAUAAUCUCUUAUACACAAGAUGUAGUUAUUGUCCAGUUCUAUAUACCAAUAACACUGAAAUGCACUGGUGAAGCUCCUGAGUAUGUUACAAUUAUUGCACUAUGUAAUGGAAGUGAUAGCAGUACAACAUUCCAAA